UACGUAGGGUGCAGGCGUUAAUCGGAAUACUGGGCGUAAAGCGUGCGCAGGCGGUUGUGUAAGACAGAUAUGAAAUCCCCGGGCUCAACCUGGGAACUGCAUUUGUGACUGCACGGCUCGAGUGCGGCAGAGGGGGAUGGAAUUCCGCGUGUAGCAGUGAAAUGCGUAGAUAUGCGGAGGAACACCGAUGGCGAAGGCAAUCCCCUGGGCCUGCACUGACGCUCAUGCACGAAAGCGUGGGGAGCAAACAGG
rnacentral:rRNA from 1 species